rnacentral:rRNA from 1 species
CCUAAAGNAAUCUCAAUUAACACAAACUCCCCCACCACUUUAGAGCAAUUCAAAUGAGGUACAGCCCAUUUGAUACAGGAUACAACCUUAACUAACGGGUAACAUUAAAUCCACACCUUCAAGUAGGCCUAAGAGCAGCCACCUAUUAAAAGCGUCAAAGCUUAAUUAUGUUUUUAUCAAUUUAAAAUUUCCCCACAUCGACCCCUUUAACCCUAUUGAGAAUUUCUAUAUCAUAUAGAAUAUUUUAUGCUAAAACUAGUAACAAGAGAAAACUCUCUCCAAAUGCAAACACAAGCCAGCAAGAACCCACCACUGACAACUACCAGGCUUAAACAAAAGUAGUAACAUCACUAGAAAACUCUACUCCCACAACUGUUAACCUAACACCAGAGCAUUUCAAGAAAGAUUAAAAGAAAAAGAAGGAACUCGGCAAACACUAAUCCCGCCUGUUUACCAAAAACAUCGCCUCUUGUCCCCAUAAGAGGUCAAGCCUGCCCAGUGACUCUGUUCAACGGCCGCGGUAUCCUAACCGUGCGAAGGUAGCGUAAUCACUUGUUUUUUAAAUGAAGACCUGUAUGAAAGGCACCACGAGGACUAAACUGUCUCCUUUUUCCAAUCAGUGAACCUAAUCUCCCCGUGAAGAAGCGGGAAUUAUAUUAUAAGACGAG